GACGAACGCUGGCGGCGUGCUUAACACAUGCAAGUCGAACGGUGAAGGGGUCUGCUUUUGUGGGCCCUGGAUGAGUGGCGAACGGGUGAGUAACACGUGAGUAACCUGCCCCCUUCUUCUGGAUAACCGCAUGAAAGUGUGGCUAAUACGUGAUAUUCUGGGUCUGUCGCAUGAUGGGUCUGGGAAAGAUUGCGCCUUUGGGUGUUUUUGGUGGGGGAUGGGCUCGCGGCCUAUCAGCUUGUUGGUGGGGUGAUGGCCUACCAAGGCGGUGACGGGUAGCCGGCCUGAGAGGGUGGACGGUCACACUGGGACUGAGACACGGCACAGACUCCUACGGGAGGCAGCAGUGGGGAAUAUUGGACAAUGGGCGCAAGCCUGAUGCAGCGACGCCGCGUGAGGGAUGGAGGCCUUCGGGUUGUAAACCUCUUUCGCCAGUGAAGCAGGCCUGCUCCUUGUGGGUGGGUUGACGGUAGCUGGAUAAGAAGCGCCGGCUAACUACGCG
rnacentral:rRNA from 1 species